rnacentral:rRNA from 1 species
AUUGAACGCUGGCGGCAGGCUUAACACAUGCAAGUCGAGCGGGGGAAGGUAGCUUGCUACCGGACCUAGCGGCGGACGGGUGAGUAAUGCUUAGGAAUCUGCCUAUUAGUGGGGGACAACAUCUCGAAAGGGAUGCUAAUACCGCAUACGUCCUACGGGAGAAAGCAGGGGAUCUUCGGACCUUGCGCUAAUAGAUGAGCCUAAGUCGGAUUAGCUAGUUGGUGGGGUAAAGGCCUACCAAGGCGACGAUCUGUAGCGGGUCUGAGAGGAUGAUCAGCCACACUGGGACUGAGAAACGGCCCAGAUUCCUACGGGAGGCAGCAGUGGGGAAUAUUGGACAAUGGGGGGAACCCUGAUCCAGCCAUGCCGCGUGUGUGAAGAAGGCCUUAUGGUUGUAAAGCACUUUAAGCGAGGAGGAGGCUACUUUAGUUAAUACCUAGAGAUAGUGGACGUUACUCGCAGAAUAAGCACCGGCUAACUCUGUGCCAGCCGCCGCAGUAA